rnacentral:sRNA from 1 species
GUUUAUCUGCCGAGUUUUGUACCAAAGGUACAAAACGUCGCAUUAUUGUAUGCAGUUUGUAAACAAACUGCGUGAAAAAACUUUUUUUGGAAAUUGAUAUUUCCUGCAAAAAGUUUUUAUGGA